rnacentral:lncRNA from 10 species
GACGCUGUAGAGAUUCACUGACAUCCAGUCUGAUGGACACUGUUUCUCCAGCCGAAACUGCUCAUGAGAACACAGAAGGUAAGCAUGAGCAAAUCACUUUUUAGAGGUAACUUUGCUGGACUUGUGAAGAAUGGUGUGCAAGGUCCAGAGCGACUGCAGGAGAGGGAAGGUGGGAUUCCCACAGAGCAGGAGCACAGAUGAGCCAAGCAAGGCCCUGCUUAGAAGGCAGCAAUCAACAGAGAUGCACAGACCUGUGAGGGUGCCGGGACAGCCAUGCAACAAUGCAGCCCUUUUGCUUCCUAAGCUCACCAGUUCCCUCGCUCCACCUCUGAGAGGUGGUUUGGAGAAACACAGCCCUUCUCAAGAGGUUUGCAAGGUAAGUUUAGUUGGUACAUGAGUGCACAGCACAUUUUAAUUUUUAUAGUUAUGCAUUUAUUUUAUAUGUACUAGACAAACGACCGACAGAAAAUUUACCAUUUCACAGGUAUUAGUGUUUAGGAUGAGGCUAAAGUAGGUAUUUCUGUUUAAAAAAGUAAAUUUGAAGAAAAGCUACCCAGCAAAUUAUAGUAGUAUGUGGUACACAGACAAAAAACAAAUUAUGCAGUCGUCCAAAUGACUGAAACUGAUAAAAUGCUGGUCCUGGUCUAUGGAUUCCCCCUCUGACAAAGCACAGAGUACUCGCACCUUCUCCAGAGUCAGUGACCAAAGAUGAGAGAGCAGGGCACCCAGCACAGAAACCACCAGGAGCCAAUGACUUCCUCCUGUGCUCCAUCCUACUCUCUCACUCACACCAGGAAUUAAAUCCUUUUAUGUAGACAGAUGGUCAAGAAUUGCUACUAUAAAGCAACUCAGUAUGGUCUGAACUAUCAGAGAGCUACAUGGAGAAAUAGUUACUGCUAAACAGACCUCUCUGCUGAUGUUUUUCCCAGCUACUUAAGUCCUGAAAAUUUCCACAAGGCUGAGUCAAAUCUGCGUUUCAUCAUCUAUAAGAAAGGUACCUAUCGAGAACACCCUGCUGGCCAGUGUGUAAAUAUCUAAAGGAGGACUCAGAAAACACCGGGGAAGUCCAGCCUGCAUGUGGUGGCUGGGCUUCAGUGAAGCAUGGAGCACAACAGGAGUUAGCAGCCAUGCACUGCCCAGGCUGGAAGUAUGCUCAACCACAAGGAUCAGGGCUGGGAGAGGCGCUUCGGUAGCAAGAAGGUGCCUCUGAAAACCAGCAUUGGGAUGGAGAGGGCUGAAGGCAAGUGCUGGAUGUGACCAUGGGCAGCUUUCAGGCUGGGAGCACGGAUGCCAAGAACCCAAAACACCAAAAAAACUGGUGCUUAGAACCACAGGUCCAAGAACUGAAGGAAGAAAAUGAAACAAUUUAUUUUCAGUACUGUAAACACUGCUGCUAUUCUCUUAGAUGUUUUUCUUCCAUGAUAUACCCUGUAUUGGUUUGUAUAGAUUAGCACAUUAGGUUUCAGAAGUCAUUUUAAACUCCAUCUUCAUCCUCCAUAUUUGAAAUAUUUAAAAUCUACAGAUUUUCAGGUCAAAGUUGUAGAGAUAAGUAAGCUAGAAAACAAUAAUAGAAAACAUGAGAUGAUUGGUCUCAAAUUCCAAACAGGUGACUUGAGAUGUCCUAGAGAAAGCAGCUGGAGUCAUAGCACCUUUGUCUCUAACAGCCGAUACACUCAGAGGCUCAUGUGCUUCUGUGCGUCACCCCCAAUCGCCCUGACAGGUGCACAACUCAACAAAAUAUACUCAUUUAAAACAUCCAAAUAUGUUGACUGAGUGCCUGCUAUGUGGAAAACAUUUUCCUGGGAACUCUGGGGAAAGGAAACACUCAUUUUGAUAUAGAUUAUAAUCUGAAAUCCAUCACAGCUGAUAUUCCACACGAUGGUGUAGCAGACACUUUCCAAGGUCACCACCCAUCUCACAAAAGGAAAUUAAAUCUGAUUCACAGAGCAGACCACAAAGAGCAUGUCUGGACCUAGAACCACAGCAUGUAACCUCGGAAGCAGUGAGACACCAGCCAGCAUGGACAAGCAGCAGGCACUUGAUCUAUACCAGAUAUGCUGCAUGAUAGAACUCUGUGCCCUCUCACAGAUAGGUCCCACCUCCAGCCUUCCCCUGCUGCCAUCUAACAUCCUAAACUCCAGCUCUGAAUGUCUGUCUCCUGCUCU